GACGAACGCUGGCGGCGUGCUUAACACAUGCAAGUCGAACGGAAAGGCCCUGCUUUUGCGGGGUGCUCGAGUGGCGAACGGGUGAGUAACACGCGAGUAACCUGCCCUUGACUUUGGGAUAACUUCAGGAAACUGGGGCUAAUACCGGAUAGGAGCUCCUGCUGCAUGGGGGGGGUUGGAAAGUUUCGGCGGUUGGGGAUGGACUCGCGGCUUAUGAGCUUGUUGGUGGGGUAGUGGCUUACCAAGGGUUUGACGGGUAGCCGGCCUGGGAGGGUGACCGGCCACCUUGGGACUGCGAUACGGACCAGUAUCCUACGGGCGGCAGCAGUGGGGAACAUUGCACAAUGGGCGGAAGCCUGAUGCAGCAACGCCGCGUGCGGGAUGACGGCCUUCGGGUUGUAAACCGCUUUCGCCUGUGACGAAGCGUGAGUGACGGUAAUGGGUAAAGAAGCACCGGCUAACUACGUG
rnacentral:rRNA from 1 species